CAAAAGCACCUCAUCCACCAGAUGACAGAAGAGAUUGUCAUCAUAGAGCAGACAUGGGAUGUCUGCAGCUAACUUCUCAAGAACGAGCAUCAUGAGGCCCCGGGAAAAUUCAAGCUGAAAGAAACAUGUAAGCAGGAGAGUAUCUCCAGCUCUAUAUCUGUUCCAGGGUGGACGUGCCCUAAGCGCCAGAGAAAGUGGAAGGCCACAGCAGCUUCCUGACAAAGAAGGAAAUGGAGAUGCUGACCUUUUCCCUCUUCCUUGUCCAGACCAAGAUUCAGGAAACAAGUUAUCCCUUGUAUUUUUCUUCCCAGAUCAACUUUUACUGGCAAAUUCACUGAAGGUAAAGUACCACUAAACAGUUACCAUUUUGACUCUAAUUAAGGCGGUGGUCAUCUCUCCUAGAUCAUUAAUUAGCCCCUCCAAAUUCCUGAUGCUUGAUAAGUUGUUGUUUCAUUAAGAUAACAGGCAGGCCCCAAUUAUUCUGAAUUGGUGCGGGGGGGGCAGACUCCAGUGAAACUACACCAGUCCCUGCACUAAGUCUGGGUCAGGAAGUAUAGCUUAUCUUCAAAUUAUCCCACAUUUUACAAUUUUAGAAAGAAAGAUAGGUGCAUGAUGAUAACCAGUACUUAAUACAAUGCAAGUAUAUUGUAGCAAAAAAAAAAAAAAAAAAUGGAGAGAUUCAUCUUAAAGACAACAGGCUACGACUCUUCUGCUCCGCAGACCCUGGAGGGCUGAGUUUAGGAGAGAUGGCUGGGUAAAGAAUGGUAAGGUGUUUCGAGUCUGCUUACUUUUCUCCUCGACGUCCUUCCUUUCGUUACCACUUUCAGAGCAGCACUAGAAGAACAGGUGUAACAAACACAUUAAGACUGGAGUGAUAGGUGGAACUCCUCAGGAUUCCCAGAGGGCGCAAGGUCCCAGACUCCCUCCCCUGGGGUCUUCCUGAGGGGUCAGGGCCAUCUGACGCAGGUGGCCCUGAGGACCACCACUGCCACCUCCCCAGAACCGCUGGAGUUACCUUGCCCAGCCUCAGGGCAUGUCUCUACGUCCCUAGAGACAACUAUCUGUGUCAUCUCAUCAGGGUCGCCAGAGCCACCGCCCUGGGACCACCUUCUCUGGGAGGUCCGUGCCACCUCGCCAGAUUGGAAGGCCUGUCUCCCCGGGCCACGGAAACCACGUCCCCAGGCCGCCAGGGCCACCUCACCGACGCAAUCUCCUUUGGCAGAUCUGUGCCACCUCCCCGGGCUACCAGCGUCCCCUCCCCGGGCCACCAGGGCCGCCUCACCGGGGCUGCCGGCGCCUUGCCGAUCUCGGCGGCCGGGAGCAUCCCGUCUCCGCGCGAGUCCUCGGCUCCAUGAGCAGCCAGCGUGGCU